UUCCCCGACCGGGGAUCGAACCCGGGCCCCUGCAGUGAACGCGCAGAGUCCUAACCACUGGACCACCAGGGA
rnacentral:tRNA from 1 species